UUCCUCUCUUGCAUAGAAGGACGUCAAAACCAAAUGUCAGUCAAAUGUGUGGUCAUUUAAUUCGCAUGUACUCAUCCAUCAACACUUUAGUAAAGUGUCUUGAGAUAAUGUAUGCUGUAACUUGGCGCUAUUUGCAUAAAAACACGAGUAGAUGUAAUAGACCGCAGGCAUGGUGACACGGAGAGUCCCUCUUCCUCCCGGGGCUGUGUGUCAGUGUCGCUCUGGCAAGUCUGUCUGUUUGUACAGAUGUGUGUGUACGUCUGUACCGGGACAGCCUGCCUCCAAACUGGGACACCAAAGUGACACCGCGGCAGUCCGCUGUUCAAACUUAGCCUCCAAGGAAAAACAAAACACUCCGGAGAAGAAGUCUGCCGAGAGUUCACAACAAACGUUGACACAGCCGCCGCCUGGACUUAGUACCCGGAGCUGCCGUGUCUGUGAGAAACUCGCUCUCCAUUCCUUCAUUCAGUUGCCAGUGGGAUUUAUACUCACACAAUACUCACCUCAAUGGAGCUACUCAAACAUAAGCACUGCGCAUGCUGCUGUCUCUCAGAACCACCAAGUCCACCAUCCGCGGGAAACUCUUCAGCAGAGAGACGGCUGUCUCAUGCUCCAUGUGUAAAAAACUAUGUCCGUUAGCCUGC